rnacentral:rRNA from 1 species
GACGAACGCUGGCGGCGUGCUUAACACAUGCCAGUCGAACGGAAAGGCCCUGCUUUUGUGGGGUGCUUGAGUGGCGAACGGGUGAGUAACACGUGAGUAACCUGCCCUUGACUUUGGGAUAACUUCAGGAAACUGGGGCUAAUACCGGAUAGGAGCUCCUGCUGCAUGGUGGGGGUUGGAAAGUUUCGGCGGUUGGGGAUGGACUCGCGGCUUAUCAGCUUGUUGGUGGGGUAGUGGCUUACCAAGGCUUUGACGGGUAGCCGGCCUGAGAGGGUGACCGGCCACAUUGGGACUGAGAUACGGCCCAGACUCCUACGGGAGGCAGCAGUGGGGAAUAUUGCACAAUGGGCGGAAGCCUGAUGCAGCAACGCCGAGUGCGGGAUGACGGCCUUCGGGCUGUAAACCGCUUUCGCCUGUGACGAAGCGUGAGUGACGGUAAUGGGUAAAGAAGCACCGGCUAACUACGUG